ensembl:lncRNA
UAUUCAUUUGGGCCUAACUCGGGUGGGUGGCAGGCGUAAAGCACACAUGUGGCGGUGGGGCUCAGGCAGCUUUUGGCAGAAAUAUUUAUCGUAACACUCUCCCUCCAACAAGGCCACACCUGCUAAUCCUUCUCAGGUAUUGCCACUCUUUGAUGACUGAUCAUUCAAAUAUAUGAGCCUAUGGGGGCCAUUCUUAUUCAAACCGCCACACAAGAGGUCAUGGAAGUAGCAUAAGUUAAUGAAGUAAGCUGGUACCAGGGAGACAGUGGGAGUAUCAGGCACUGUGGUGAACUGUCAAGACCAAGGCCAGCUGGAGGAUAUUUGCUCUGGCCAUUAUUUAAAAGAAGAUUGAUACGCAGGUCUUUGUGAACAGUUCCUGGUUUACAGGUGUUGUUUGAUAACUUAAAUCAAAGGAGAAUGGAUCUUCCAAUAAGGCAGAACAAAACCUGUCAGAAGUUUAAAUUUUUAUUCUGAGCUGUAUUUUUCAGCAUGAAGAUAGAACAUGGAAAUAGAGUGGGAACUGACACUGCCUACCCUGCCAGAGAAUGUAGGCAGCACAUGUGGCCAGUCCUGCUCCAUAGAAGACAAAAUUGAAGCAGAGAGAGUCUUUCAACUUCCCCCAACCACAUUUCUCUGUGUGACAAGAGACAAUUGGGCUACCUCCUAGCUGGCCUGUAAUUGGAUGGGUAGAAAGCACUUUCAACAGUCCCAGUGAUCACACUCUCAGUAGUCAUUGUGCUUUAAUUGCAUUCUCUCAGGUUAGGUAUUUUUUGGAAAACAUUGAUAAAUCUUUUGUCUUCUCUUAGUAUCUAGGUCUCCUCUGAUAAAUGUCACAACAUUGUGUUUGGAGUUUGCAGUGGUUGGGGACUUUUGAAGUUGGAUUAAAUGUAUUUUGCAUUAUGAUAUUGUUGCAAGCUUAUAGGGGUCAGGGAUGGAAAUUGGUAGUUUGAAUGUAAUUGGCCCCCAUAAUCUCGUAGGGAGUGGCACUUUUAGGAGGUGUGGCUUUGUUGGAUAGGUAUGGCCUUGUUGGAGGAAGUGUGUUACUGUAGGGGAGGGCUUUGAGGUUUCAUAUAUGCGCAAGCCAUGCUCAGUGUCUCAGACCACUUCCUGUUGCCUACAAGUCAAGAUGUAGGACUCUCAGCUCUGUCUCCAGCACCAUGACUGCUGCAUGCUACCAUGAUUGAUAAUGGACUAAUCAUCUGAAAAUGUAAGCCACCCAAUUAAAUGUUUUCCUUCAUAAGAAUUGCCAUGGUCAUGGUGUCUCUUCACAACAAUAGAAACCCUAACUAAGAUAGAGUUUUAUCUCUCAUUGUUCCUGUUUCGGCUCAUCUCUCAUUUUCUUACUUCUUUUCCCCUGCUCCUCCUCUGCUAUGUGUCAAGUCCAAAGGAAACUGGAUUUUCCCAAAUCCUGAUGGUUAGCCAAAAGCUAGCAGUCCUUAUGAACUUGUGAAACUGGUUCCUUCUACCAAAGGAGCUGUUUCCCUUAGCACUGGAAGAAGGGGCAAAUGACUAUCUGUGGUGCCUAUUAGCAUAUCCAAGUGCAUGCUGGCCUUCAGGCUCUCUCAGCAUCACAAGUACCUGUUACACAUUUCAGAGUCUAUGCUAGCAUCUCAGCUAUUCUCACCUUUUCCUCCAUCCUAAACUUCUAGAACUCAUGGGCUCCCCUCCUCCCAGCUUCUCAUUUCUUUUUAUAACCAUGUUAUUUUAGCUAUGUAUUCUCUGGAUACUUCCUUUGUCUUCUUCCCCCACCCCCCUUUCCCUACCUCUCUCUCUGCUCUGCUCUACUCCUGUUUCCCUCAUAGCCAGAUCCAGUUUGCUGGCCAUGGUCACUUUACUGCUUUCUUUCUCUGCUCUGAACUCUUCCAGAUGCCUCUAGCUGUUUUCUCCCUCGUAUCUACAACAAAAAACCUUUCCCACAACCAUACCACGGAGUCAGUCAUGUGGUCAGUUUAUACACUACAUACAUUCAAAGAGUAACAUCUUUUGCCACCAAGUGAAACCUCCAGUGUCAGAAACAGGUUAAAUAUAAUUAAGUUGUUGGGAAAAAAAUGGGCUACCAUGGAAUUCCCCAAACAACUUGGGCUAUUGCCAAGGCUAUUGAUUGCUUUCCAGAAACUGAUGGCAAGGCCCAAUUGCUGAAGACGGCUCUUACGUGCCUCAUUGAACCCAGAGAAGCAAAGGUAGGGCCUACUUAGAGUCUUCACUUCUGCUGACUAGUAUUCACAGAACUGGAAGGUACUUGGUACACUACCAUAGGAUAAUGAUAAUCACCAAGGCAGCUACAAACCCUUCGAUCUACAAUGGUGACCCACAUGCAUGAUGCACUGGUAUAACUGUGGCACAAAAAUUGUGGGAGUGACUACCACUAUUUGAUUCAAUUUAAGGCCUACUCCGUUAGACAGAACCUAUGACUGAUACAGGUUAGGUGGCCAAGAUCUCAAGACUAGGUAAUCAGGCAGUGGGUCUAGGUGAAAUACUAUUGUUAUGCUACUAGAACAGCAAUUCAAUGACUCCUAAUGACAUUCUGUGAUACUCAUAGAUCAGUGUUUCAUUUAGCAUUAUCCUCUUGCUGUAGAUGGGAACUAAUACAGAAGCUCACAACAGGACAAAGUUCAGAAAGUGAGAGACCUUAGGAUACUCACUCCUAAAUGUGGUAUUUUUAUCACACUCCUUCCCUCAGGAGGUGGGGUAGGGGAAACCUUGCAGAAGAGGAGGCAGAAAGAUUGUAAGAGCCAGAGGGGAUGGAUGACACCAAAGAAACAGUAUCUUCUAGAUUCAGCAAGACUGACACACAUACUGACCUACAGGGACUGGCAGGAUGUACAAGGCCUGCACAGGUCCAGGCCAGAUGGGGUCUUAGCACUGAGAGGGGGAAGUGGACGUGAGCUCCCAUUCUAUACUAAAAAAUUAUCUCUGAUGAUAACUGCUUGCAAAGGAAAAAUUAGUUCUCUCCAACGGAGUCUCACUGGGCAUACAAACCACGCUUGUGAGUGGGCCCAUACCUAGCAGCAGAUAGCCAACAUUAAAUGAACUCAAUGAUAUUUUUGUAGAUGUUUUUUUUUUCUCACAUGACUUUGGCAUUUUGGGUUUUGUUUGUUUUUUUACCUUACUGGUUUUUGUUUGAAUAUUAUGGUUCCCAAUUUUGUAUUUUUGUUUUGUUUUGUUUUUAUUCAUUUAUUUAUUUUACAUCCUGGCUGCAGCCUCCCUCCAUCCUCCCCUUCCAGUCCCUGCUCCCCAUCCCCAUCCCCCAAUCCUCUCCAUCUCCAUCCAGAAAGGUCAGAUCUUCCAUGAGUAUCAAUAAAACAUGGCAUAUCAAAUUAUAGUAAGACUGUGCACCUUCCCGUGUAUUAAGGCUUGGCAAGGCAACUGAGUAUGAGAAGUGGGGUUCCAAAAGCCAGUAAAAGAGUCAGAGACAGCUCCUGUUCCUGCAGUUAGGAGUUCCACAAGAGGAACAAGCUACCAAUUUUAUGUUUUUAUGGGUUUUAUUUUUGUGUUCAUAUGUGUCUCUUUGUGCAUAUUCUCAUGCUUUUCUUUUCUUUUAAAUCUGGUUUGUUUUUAUUUGCCUGUUUGUUUUCUAAAGAAAGAGAAAGAAGAAAUAGAGUUGGAUGGAUAGGGAGGUGGAAAGGAUCUGGAAGGAGAUGGGGUAAGGAAAACUAUGAUCAGAAUAUAGUGUAUAAAAUUAUUUUCAAUAAAAAUAAAAUAAAUGGCAGUAAGAAAAAAAUUGACACAUUAGAAUCCCAAGAAAUGUGUACCUUGACUUACAAGGAUUGAUUCAUUCACUUUGGUCCAGUGUACAUUUUCAUUUUUACCAGUAACUUCUUGUAUUUUUAAAAUAUUCUUCUUAUUAUUCAUUUACAUGUAUGCAUGUUUAUCUGUGUAUGUGUAUGUGCCUGAGUUGGUCAGAGGCAUGUCACAUCCUCUGGAGCUGGAGUUAUAGGCAGGUGUGAGUUGCCUGAUGUGGGUGCUGGAAAUUCAACUUGAGUCUUCUGUUCUUACAUACUCUUAACUACGGAGCCAUCUCUCCAGCUGUACCCACCCCCCCCACCAGUAACAUUAAAAACAUUAUCUUUAUGUGACUUUUACAAGUGUCUUUAAUUUUCUUCAGAAGUAAGAAGAAGACCUCAUUUGCAGUGUUUGGCUCUGUCUUGUUUUUCUGUGUAUCUGUCUCUAAACAUAUGAACCCAACAAGCCUCCGCUCACCAUCAGGUUGAAAAUGAAUUGAAAACAAUUCCAGGCUCCUGGUUUGUCCUGCCAGUGACCUUUGUUGCAUUCCAGGAGGAGGUGUCGUCUGUGGGUUCUGCCCUGGGGCCAGUGGUGUCUCUUGGUGACUGCCCAGCACCAGCUGUCUCUCACCCCCAAGGGCAAUCAUGUGCCUGCCACAGAUCUGAAUCAUCACUGCAGGGACAAAAGCCAGGCCAGUCACUUCUUACAAAUCUCUUCUGAUUACAAAACCUAUAUAGCCCACUAUCCAAGCUGCCACAUUCGCAUGACCUGGACCCAUGAAAUAGGUGUUUCUCCUAGAGGCAACAUUUGAAGGAAACUAACCUUAACAGAUGCUCCAUCCCUGUCACUCAUCUUUGCUGCAUGAACUUACUCCAAAUUCCAGCUCGGCACUAGACAAUGUCUUUCACCAUGACUUGAAUAAAGCCAUUUUUUGUUUGUUUGUUUAAUCUUAACUCCUGUCUAAUAGGUCUAAGUGAAAAUGCUACCAUUUCUACAGAGUGUAUAGCAGGCCAGGCAAUCCCAGAGUCCACUUAUAGAGGCAGAAACUCAGCUCCAUGAGUUGAACGACUUGCCUAAGGACACAGAGUGAACUCAGCAGCUACUGCCAAAGCCCUCUACCUCUAAGCCAUUCUCUAAUUCCAGACAGGCUUAAACACGAACUUUCAGAUGCCACCUUCUCACACUUCCCAGUCCUUUUUUCUACCAUUCCAUCUGGCAAAUGCCAUAAAUAUCUGCCCUAGAGAUAUUUAUGCAGAGUGCUUCGAGCCUACUUCCUUGUCUCAUGUCUACCUGUCCACUCACCAUUUCCACACCGGCCAUGCGCCCUUUCGCAUUCUACCCUUCUGAGUUCUUGCCCAUUCCACUCCACUCCACUCAGAAUUCAAAUUCCUAGCCUUCUGUGAUUGGGUUAUGGGUUGAAUUGUGUCCCUGUUCAUAUAUCUAACUCACAUGUCGGAAGACUUGACCCCCAAUAACUCAAUGUGACCUUAUUUGGAAGUGUUGUCACUGUAGUUGCAAUGAAGCAGGGUAGACAUCUCAAUGCAACAUGCAUGUUGUCUUUACACAAAAAGAGAUUUGGCCACAAAUACACACAGAGAGAAUAGAGAUGAAGGUAAGGACCAUGGUGAUGGUUCCAUGAGCCAAGGGAUGCCCAAGACUGCCAGCACCCCCAGAGCUGGGAGCAGCAGAUCCUUCCUGACAGCCCUCAGGGAAUCAACACCACUGACCCUUCAUCUCAGACUGCCAGCUUCUAGUACUGAUGGACAAUAUAUCGUUAAGCCACCCAGUUUGCAAUAUUUUUAACAACCUAGCUAACAUUCCAGUCCAUUUCGCAAGACCCAGUACAAGUGUUUCCGCCUCUAACUCCCUAAGCCAUUUCUAAGGGUGAUCAGGCUGCUGUAGCAAAAUAUCACAGGCAUGUUUUAUGCAAACAGAAGACUAAGUUUACCUCUAACGGCUCUGAAGGCUGCUGUCCAGUGAGGGUUUGUGUCUUCAGUUAGUCAUCCUCUCACUUGGUCCCCAAAUGUCAUAAGGGAUAAGGGUCUCUCUGGAGACCUUUUAUAAGACUUUUAAUCCCAUCCAGAAGGGCUCUGUUCCACAAUCUACUCAUCUCCCAAAGGCUCUUCUUCCUAAUACCAUUACCUUAGGGUGAGAAUUUAACAUUUGAACAUGACAGGGUUUCCUGUAUGUGUGGGCAGCUGGGGAUAGGUGGUGACACAAACAGUCACACCACAGUAUGCUGUAGCAUAAUCACUUUUUCUAUGUCUCUGCUGUUUACAACAGAAGCUGAGGUUUUAAGAGCAAGCCAGCCCCCUUUCUCUCUGUGCUCAGUAAAUGCAUGCUGAGAAGAAGACUGAGGAAUGGCAUAUUCUUGUUGGUACACCCAAUCUGGCUGUUUGCCUAGGCUGCAAUUCUUUGAUUAGUAGAAAGAGGACUGAGCUGAGAUUCUGGUCUCCAAAGAGACAGCUUUGAGUUGAAUCAGCUUCCCAGAUGUGCCCUGGGUUCACAGAACCAAUCCAAAGAGAAGCAAAAAUCUGAACUGGUCGUAAAGGCUUUUUAUCAGGGGUGAGAGCAGAACAUUUCACAAACCAGAGGGGAGAGGCUACAAGUUCAGUCAUGAGAGGCAGGAGAAGGAGGCAGGGAUACAGGAGAGCUUGACCAGUCGAAGUCUAGGCUUGUGUAUAGAGGGAAACAGAUUACAACACAGCCUGGUGCCUGCUGCCUGAGUCCCAGAUCAGUUCCAUGGACUCCUGUCUGGAUUGAGGAGAAAGACUGAGCCAUUAGAAAAGCUGGACAAAUCUCUUCCCUGAAAGCCAUGUGGUACUCUGGGCCCUCAGCAGCUUAGCCUGUGUUGAUGCCCACUAUGUCAGAGGUAGGAGGAGAGCAGGUAGACAGUGCCGUGUUCUCUUGCAGAUCACACCCCGUUGGCAUUGUGGGAAGGGGCAACAUGGCUGCUGUGCUGACAUCAUGAGCUGCUUCAAGGUCACUUUCAUCCUAGAAUGUCUUCUUAAAAACUUGGGAGCUAAGGUUUUAUGUCACCUCUCGGGCUCAAGGAAAGAGUGGAGGACCCUGGAAUUUGACUUGGGGUGGUGGUGGUGUGCAUGAUGGGUACAUGUGUGUUGCAGACACAGCACCACUGAGUAGCUAAGUCACAAUAUAAUCACUAAUACCAACUCUCAGUGCAAAGAGCCCAAAAUCAUUUUCAUAAUGUUGAAUGACACUGGUUCUUGCAGAUUUGCCAAGUUUCUAAGGUCACCAUAAGGUAGAAACUUAGACUCCACAAUUGCAAGAGACUUCAGUGAUCAAGGGCAGUGAAUUAUGACUUUAGCUGUACAAUGGGGGGAUUCUUUUUUAACGCAAAGGUUGUGAUUGGAGGUGUAAUUCAACAGCAGAAUGUUUGCCCAGCAUUUUAAAGGCCCUGUGUUUGAGUCUCAGCACUGAGAAAUAAUAAAUAAACGAGAACAUUUUUAUAAAGGUUACCCUCACCAGAUCAAUUAAAUCAGAAUUCCUGGGCUAGAACCAAGUAUUAUAUAAUUCUGCUGAUUUGUGUUAAGAUUUGUGGAGAUUUGAAUGAAAAUGGACACCCCCCUCGGGUCAUAUAUUUGAAUGCUUGGUUUUUAGUUGGUAGAACUGUUUGGGAAGGAUGUUUGAAAAGUAUGGCCUUGUUGAAGGAGGUGUGUCACUGGGGUUGACUAUGAGGUUUCAAAAAGCCUGCACCAUUGCCAAUUAAUCCUCUUUGCCUCGGGCUUGUGCAUCAGAUGUGAGCACCCAGCUAUUGCUCCAGCACCAUGUCUACUGCCUGCUGUCAUGAUUUCCACCAUGAUGUCCUUUUUCAUCCUCUGAAACUGUAAGCAAGCCCCCCAGUGAAGUGCUUUCUUUAAUAAGUUGCCUUGUGUCACUUCACACCAAUACAACAGUGACUAAGACAAAAACACAACAGCUUAAUGUUUUCAUUGUCAACAAAAUUAAGUGAUAGCAUGAUUCAUAGGAGAGAAAUAAAAAGCUAUUUAAAGAACAGGACUAUGUUUUUUUCAGAGGUAGGACUCUGAAUCAGGUGCACUGGGUUCAACUCGUAGCCUGUCACUUACUUUCUGUGAACCUAGAAGACAUUACUUGGUCUCUUGUUUUCUUCAUAUUUCAAAUGAAAACAGUAGCUACCAUCUCACAAGGCAGUUGUGAGUGCUAGCUUGAAUUGUAUUGUCCAAGUGCCUCAAACUACACUUGGCAUGAUGCUCAAGUGCUGUACAAACAGUUGUUAUUACUUUCUCACAGGGCAAGCUUUUCACAGAACCAGGCUUAUACUUGAAAUUUAUGAGACAGUUUUCUGUCUCAUAAAUAGGCUUUCAUACGGGAUUCUGCCUUUGGAACAAGGGGCGCAGAAAUUAAAAACGCAUGUAUGUAUGCACAUUGGGCAAUUAAUAAUCUACAGCUUUGAUGUUAUGUCAGAAAAGAUGAAUGGUCUCAACUAUCUAGCAGAUGCCAUUCUAGGAACCAACACCUAGGACAUUAGAAAUGGCCAUGAGGAAAAUGGCUCUAGGAUUAAAAUGAAAAUCUUUUUUUUUUAUGAUGUGGAGUGUUUCAAGCAAAAUGGAAUUGCGUUUAUGAAUCUGCAUCUUAUAAAAUUAUAUUUCUAGGGGCUAAAGGGAAUUAUCAUGAGCCUUCAUUACAGUUCAAGGGAUGGGCAAUAAAAAUGCUUUCUGAGAGAGAGCAGGCAGAUGAGAAGAACAGAGAGGCUAGGUGAGCUAUCUUGACUUUUAAACAGCUAGAAGCCCCUAUAAAUUCCUCCACGACCCCAAAAGUUGGUGUUUUUAAAUUAAAUUUAAAUUACUUAACAAUUUUAUACACACUUAACCUUUUUAUUUUGUUAGUGGAUGUUGUAUUUGUUUGGUAACUUACAACAGGUUCAAAUUAGAUAUCUGAAUAUUUAUCUUCAUGAUUUAGAGUGAUUCUCACAGAGGAUGGGAUGUUCCUGAGGGACACUGGCUCCUUACCUGUAAGCAUCACUGAAGAGCUAGGCAAUGGGUCUGGAAUGGCUUCUAGCUCUGUCAAUGCAUUUUGUCAGGGUUGCCUUCUACACUUCUGAUGUGUUCAUACCGAGCAUCAUCAGAAUCUUCUAGAAGGGAAGGAGAGCUCCACUAGAGGUGUGUUCACACUGAAGGGGAGAGCUCCACUAGAGGUGUGUUCAUACUGAAGGUGAGAACUCCACUGGAGGUGUGUUCACACUGAAGGGGAGACCUCCACUAGAGGUGUGUUCACACUGAAGGGGAGAGCUCUACUAGAGGUGUGUUCACACUGAAGGGGAGAGCUCCACUAGAGGUGUGUUCACACUGAAGGGGAGAGCUCCACUAGAGGUGUGUUCACACUGAAGGGGAGAGCUCCACUAGAGGUGUGUUCACACUGAAGGGGAGAGCUCCACUAGAGGUGUGUUCACACUGAAGGGGAGAGCUCCACUAGAGGUGUGUUCACACUGAAGGAGAGAGCUCCACUAGAGGUGUGUUCACACUGAAGGGAAGAACUCCACUAGAGGUGUGUUCACACUGAAGGGGAGAGCUCUACUAGAGGUGUGUUCACACUGAAGGGGAGAGCUCCACAGAGGUGUGUUCACACUGAAGGGGAGACCUCCACUAGAGGUGCUGUUCGCACUGAAGGGGAGAGCUCCCCUAGAGGCGCUAUUCACACUGAAGGGGAGACCUCCACUAGAGGUGCUGUUUGCACUGAAGGGGAGAGCUCCCCUAGAGGCGCUAUUCACACUGGCUUCACCAGGCUCCUGUACCUACUGGUAUUUUGUUGUUAUAUUCCUUCCUUCAAGGACCCUUUUUUCCUAAAAUCUUGGAAACACAUCCUUCAGUGACUCUUUCAUCCAAGACCCAUUAGAAGUCAGUUCUCUUAGUCUUUGGAAGUGUCUUCCCUAAGGGUGAGGUCUGUGAGAUUUGACUUCUACAUUAAAGCUCUUGGCCAGAAGGUAGCACAUGUCCUUGGCCCCAGAACUUGGGAGGCAGAAGCAGGCAGAUCUCUGUGAAUUUCAGGCCAGAAUGGUCUACAAAACAAGUUCCAGGAAAGACAGGGCUAUUACAUAGAGAAACCUUGUGUCAAAAAAUAAAACAAAACUAAAAGUUUUUGAUGAAUAAUUAUUUUGUAAUUUAUGAACCCAUAAAUACAUGGAUAAUAAAGGAGACAAAAAUAAAACCCUUGGAAGCCCCCAAAAAACGUGACCAAGAAAAAGUAUCAAGCAAGUUGAAGAAAGUCAAACUUAAAGCUGUCUUGCUUUUUGUUGAAGGAUCAUUAAGAAUGCAGACAGUGGCAGCAUCAGACAGAGCUGUACAUGGGAGUGAAGAGCAUGGCUUGAAACAGGGAGGAUCAGGACCCAGGAGAAAAAUUGUUUCCCUAGACGCCUUCCUCACCUCUUGCUCCUGGUGAUGUAUCUCAAUCCUAGCAAAAGAAUGAUAUUUACUUUCCAGAGAAAGUAAGAUAAAAUCCACUGGGCUAGAUGGUACAGACUGAGUUACACAUGUGUCCACCACAGGAUCCAGUGGAAGGAGAUGAUGCUGCUCACUCAGCUUUCAGAGGGGUUUCAUCCAGAAUCUUUCCUUCCUGGUAAAAGAACUGGAAAGAUAGAAAAACCAUCUCUGAGGACUGUGAUGGGUCCAUAAAUAAAAAAUAACCAUCCUGAUACCUAGGUUUCCUAAGCACUUGACUCAGCCCGAUCACUGCCCUGACAUUUACUCAGAACCUCCCAUCAACUUUUUAAAUUCUCCACAAAUAGACAUGAUCAGACACCCAAGACAGACAAGGGAGGACUCUAACAUGCAAGAUAGAGAUCAACUAGGCAAACUACAAACAGAGAAAAUAAAUAAAUGAAACAGUUUGGAGGAAAAAUAAAUUAUAUUUGGAGAGAAAACUUCAAAAUAAAGUUAUUAUUAAUGUCCUUAAAGAGAUGAACAAUGAUAUGAAAUCCCAGAAACAAGGUUGGAAUGUUACUUCAAAAGCCACAUUCAGGAAACAUAAAAGUCUCAGAGAUUAAAAACAUGGCAGAAUUGAAACUCUCAACAGAAAGCUUGGAAGGGUGUGUUGAAUCUAACUCCUAGGAAACAGCAAAAAGGCAAUAGAAAAAACAGAACCAAUGGUUAUAUAGAAUAUAACUAUAACUAUGUAUUUAUGUUUGCUAUUAUAUAAAAACAUAUUAAAUUGUACACUAUAUUAUAGACCAUUGUAUUUUUAUGAGGAAGCAAAGGCAGGCAGGUCUCUGUGACAUCAAGGCCAGUCCUGUCUCAAAAAACAAAACAAAACAACACUGUAUUAAGCAAUCUAGGAAAGUCAAUAUCUACAUGGAAUAGCAGAAAAAGAGAAUAAAGAAAAUUAAUGAGGAAAAAAUAAUGAUUUAAGAAAAAGUCUGUGAGCUUCCAGAUUGAAUAGCUCACAAAAUUCUCAGAACAAUGCAUGAAAUAGACUCCUACAAAGGCAUAGCUUUAAGAACUUCCAAGCACGGGGCAGGAAGAUCUUAAAACCCUUUAAAAGGCAAAUUCAAGUCAUAGACACUAAAAAACCAAACAGACUUACAAUAUGUAAACAUUGAUGAUUGAGCUAAAUAAAACUAUAUUAUGACUAUUAAAAUAUGAGGGUCUGGGAAAUGUACAUGUACAUAGUUGGAACAAAAGGAGAGAACUCCCUAUCAGCUAUUUUUCUUUCUGUUUUGUCAAAACACCCAACCGCAGCAACUUAGGAAGGGUCUAUUUGAGUUCAAGGUUUAAGAAAGGAAAUGGUCUAUCAUGGCAGAGAAGAUGGCUCUUGGUAACACUGCGCCUGUAGUCAAGAAACAGAUACAAACACUGAUUUUUUUAAAAAAAAUUCAGUGCCUAGCUUAUGGAAUUGUGCCACCAAUUCUAGUUCUCUAAUUUCUCUAGAAGUGCCCUUACAGAUUCCCACAGAGGUUUGUUUCCAAAUCUUCAUCUUAUGAUAUGGAAAUACUUAUUUUGUUAUGCUCUGGCCUCUACUGAUUUUGAUGAGAAGUUAUUGAAAGUCUAGUUGUUGGUCCUCUGUAUGGAAUCUGUAUUAUCUGAAUGUCUUAAAGACUUGCUGGUGUCAAUUACCUUUCUGUGGUUUCCCCCAAUUUUCAAGUCAUGGUGAAGAUCUAAAGGGCCUUGCUAAGUAAGAUUUAGGAUCUUUUAAGAAUCCUUAUAGUGGGGUUGGGGAAAUGGAACUGUCAGUAAAGUGCUUGCCACAUAAAAAUGAGGAAUGGAAUCCCCAGCGCACGCACACACACCACACACACACAGAAAGAGAGAGAGCAGGUUUAUCAGCAUGUACCUCUGAUUUCAGUACAGGGGAAGUAGAGACAGGAUGAGUUCCAGGUUCAGUGAGAAACCAUGUCUCAAAAUAUAAAGUGGCCUCAACUAUGUGUGCAUAUACAUAUACAUGAACAUGUUCUCUCUCUCUCUCUCUCUCUCUCUCUCUCUCUCUCUCUCACACACACACACACACACACACACACACACACACACACACACACACGUGUUGUACAGGGGUGCAGUUGCUUACUGGGCUCAUCAACAUCCCUGGAUGAAAAUUUCUACCCACAAGGUUAAAUCAAUGGAGACAGUAGAAGAGCCUCUGGAAAACAUUCAGAGUCACCAUGAGUAAUGAAUGAGUCUUUCCUCAGAAAAAGCAUACUCAGUGGGUACAAGGUUAUGAAACGCUGUUGAUUUUGGAAAGAACUGAAACCAAUUUGGGCCUUGCAAUUCUUCCAGGAGCAUAGCAGGAAGGAUUCUAUAAGGCUUCCCCAUCAUUUCAUUGCUGCCUCGUUUUCCCUUCCAUCCCCAAACUAUGGAAGAGUUGAGAGGAGAAUCGUGUGAGCUGAUUGUCACUGGUAGUCUGUGUGAGACUCAACAGUGGCAAUAGGUACAUUUAGAAUUGAACCGCUAGCAAUUUAUCUUACCUGAAAUCAAGAAUAGUGGAAUAGAUUUGUUGGCAGCAAAAUUCUCACAAGCUUGUUUUAUUUGGAAAAAGGUUUUCAGAAUCACUUUCUUCUACUUUAGAGGAAAAAAAACACACUGUCAACGAAAAUGCAAAUGAAGAGAAUAACCAAGUGAUAAUUAGCAUAGGAUAUUUUGACACCCGAAAUUCCUUCAUCUCCCAUUGACCUUGAACAAGUCAUUUCAGCACAGCCUUACCGCCACAUGUUUGGGAAGUUUAUUAAAUUCACUCUGUGGACUGUCUGCUGCAUGUGAAAAUGAAGUGCAAGACAUUUUGUUCCUUUCAAAUUUAUAGAGAGUCUGUAAAAUAACAUAUUCAGCAAGAACCAUCAAAUGUUCACUUUUGCGCACAAAUGGUAGUCCAAAUAAUCAAACAGAACUUUAUAUAUAAAUGUUAGCAUCAUCCCUGUUAUGACUUUCAAAAGCCUAAACACAGUGGUUCCCAGUUGCAAAUGCAACUCCACCCAGUGCAUCCUGCCUCCUGUUGUCUUGGUGACCCAUUGGUAUUGAAUACAGAGGAGGGGAAGUAACUCAGCAAAUGAGCAAGAGGGCCAAUCUUCCCUUCUUGCCAGAACCCUUGCAUUUUGUUUCCUAAUCUUGUUCAUCCUCAUGCAAUUAAGCUGCAAAACAUGCUUCUCCAAGAACCUGUCAAAUGUACGACUUUCAAAGAUCGCGCUGGAGUUGAAGAAGCUUGAUCCUUUACAUACAAAUGGCAUUUAGUUUACUCUAAGAGGAAAAUGAUAAAUCCAUCAAGACUUUCGGGCUUAAAUUGCUUUCAAGGACCCUCAACUUAAUUAAAAGAGGACAAUAUACAAAAGAAGUUGACCUUUUCCAUGUAAGCUCUAAAUAUGCCAUCAUUAAUGAAUUUCAUUACAGGAGAGACUACAAUGAACAACUGUAGUUCAGUUCAGCAUUUAAGUGCAGAUAACAAACUGGCAGACCAGUGGUUAUCAUUUUAAGUAGUUAAAACACUGUGACUAAGCCAUUCUCCUAAAAUGGACAAAUUAAUAUAUUCUAAAGAAUACAUUUUAUUUAGAAUGUAGGGGUCAUAUUAAUGAUCUCUCAUUCUCCUUUCAGAGAGGAAGAAUUAUGGGGCUGACUGGGUUUCCUUCUUUGCAGUUGUGUGAACCUUCAUUAUGCUACCCCCUUGAAGGGAAUUAGUUUUACAGUAACGAAUAAAUAGCUAAAACAAAAUUUGACAUUGUAGUGGGAGAAAAAAAAAACCACCUAAUUUUAAGAGCAAAUGUCCAUUAUAAUGUGCUGACAAAUUCAAAGCAUCCAUUCUGAGCAACGAAUGCACAAGGAAACUCCACAACAGUGGGUAACAGAAAGGAGAUAUCCUGACUGGAUUUUUUCCUAAAAUCUCACCUCAAGUACCAAGUACUCUCCUUCAACAGUUCUACAUAUCUUUCAACAGUUACUCUAAAAAUGAAAUGAAGGAAAACAAAACACUGUCUGUGAAAGACCCUGCCCCUCUGUCUUCCCUGCCUGUGCCGGUGCUGGGUGUUCUCUCUGGAGCAGGCGGGAGGAGCAGAUGACUGAGAGCAGCGCGGUGGGGACUGAGCAGGGCCAGGGUUCGGCCAGGGCUGGAGAAUGCAGUGCGGGCGGCGCCUGGAAGGGGAAAUUGAGUGGGAGAGCAGCGAUGGUGCUGCUUGUCCAGGAGCUGCGAGCGGGGAGCCUCCUCCAAGGCCAAGGACACGGGGGGGGCUGCGGAGCUGCCGGGGCCUCCCAAGCCUUCACCCUGGCAGGGCUCGCGCCCCCGGCCCGCCCCGCCUGGCACCGCGCCUCGGGGCUGGGGCCGGGCAACGAGCACCAGGUGGGCCGGCCCAAGGGCGAGCACCAGGUGCGUUGGCCCGAGGGCGAGAGCACCAGUUAGGCCUGCCCGGGGCCCCGCCCCCACACCCCCACCUGAUGAGAAAUACUCCGUCCCAAGGUCUCCACCCCCAAGGUCAGCCAUCUGGACGCGGAGGGGGGGAAUUGAGUCUGUUGUACCAAACACCAGACCUUGAGAAUAUGCUGAUCUGGAAUGGCUCUGUGUCUCAUUUGAACCAUCCAAUAGAAAUGAUUCUGUGUUUUGCCUCAUUUGAAUGACUCUGUAUUUCACCUCAUUUGAAUAACCCUGAGUAGCGCCUCAUUUACAUUGACCAAUGGGAAUAGCUCUGUACAAUGCCUCAUUAGAAUUAUCCAAUAGAAUCCCUGCUUCUAGCUUGCGCCUUUUUCCUAUAUAAGGACCCCUUUCCCUUGGCUCGGCGCACUUGGCCUCACAGAAGCUAAGUCGCCCGGGUACCCGUAUCUCCAAUAAAGCCUCUUGCUUUUGCAUCCAAGUCCGUGGUCUCGCUGAUUCCUGGGUGCGGGUCUCCUUCUACGAAAGUACCUCUUCAGGGGUCUUUCAUGAAAGGAAUUAGUUAAGAACAGGGUAGGCGGGGCUAGAGAGAUGGUAAAGAGCACUGGCUGCUCUACUGAAUUCAGGUUCAGUUCCCAGAUCUACAACAAACAAUUAAAUUUCAAGAAAAAUAAUAAUAACUUUUUAUUUUUGUUUUUCGAGACUGGGUUUCUCUGUGUAGCUUUUGAGCCUGUUGGAACUCAUUCUGUAGACUAGGCUGGUCUAGAACUCACAGAGAUCCUCCUGCCUCUGCCUCCUGAGUGCUGGGACUGAACCAUCACCUGGCCUGUAAAAAAAUCUUUUAACUAAGAACAUCAUAUGCAGAUGAAUUUGCUGCAGAAUUCUACAAGAGCUUUAGAGAUGUGAUGCUGAUCCCUUUAGCAUCAUUCCACAAAGUAGAAAUGAAGAAACAUUACCAAACUUUUUUUAUGGAGCUAGUAUUACCGUGAUAUCAAAAAUCAGACAGAUAACCAAGAAAGUUACAGACUGUAUCCUCAAUGAACAUAGACACAAAAAGUCUUACUAUAGCACAUUAAAAUUAAAUUCAAGACUGUAUCAAAAGGACCAUUAACUAUGAUUCAGUUAGCUUUGUUCCAAAACUGUGGGAACGGUUCAACAUAUGAAAAUCGGUAAAGAUGGCAAAGUUACUUGAAUGGACUCAAGCAUAGAAACCAUUGCAUCAUCUAAGUAGAUAUGGAACAGGUCUUGGACAAAAUUCAAUAUCUCUUCAUGGUAAAACUCCAAAGAGAUUAGGAAGAGAAGGAUCAUAUCUCAAUCCAAAAGGCUAUAUACAACAAACUAUAGUCAACAUUAUGUUAAAACAGAGAAAAUCUCAAAGCAGUUCCACUAAGUUCAGGACUAUUCCACACAGUACUUGAAGUCUAAACUAUUAUAGCACUAACAUAAGAGAAGGAAAUAAGAUGGAUGCACCAACUGAAACCACAGAAUUUCCCAGGGUUCCCUUGAUCUGAAGGAUUUAAAGAAGUGAGAGUCUGACUGUCAUGAACCUAAGAGUAAUAGAAUGUCUCUCUCCAUAUGCUCAAAACAAGUACAAUGCUGCCAGCAGUCCCUAGAGGAUUCUGUAACCUUCAUGACACAUUGCAUGGUUGCAGAUCAGCUCACUCAUGUCACACGCUCUUUCUGCUCAGAAUGCCUGGUUGUGUGGUGGCCAGUCCUCUAUUGAGGUUAGUCUCACAGUGUAACUGUCAGUGGGUAACACAUAAACUCAGUUUUAGUGAGAUUUAACAUUUUGGUCCCAGAGUUAGCUUCAGGAACUGCAGAUGGUAGACAAGCAAAUUAGAUUCUACUAGGAAGGCACAGUUGGAUAAAUUGAGAAUACAGACAAUCUGCAAGGCCCUAUUCUCUUCCAAAGCACUUUGGUAAGAGGUAACAAACAUUCUCGUGCACUUAGUCUAAUUGUAUUUGCUACUUUGAACAUAUGCAUAGCCCUGUCUUAGAAAACAACUUGUCCACUCCCAAAGGCAAUGUAAAUAAAAUCUAUGAACUCAAUAGGUGUUGAAUAGCUCAAAAUGAAUUGUUCAAGAAACAACAAAACACCAUUGUGCCUUUAGAAAUAAUAAGGAAGAAUUUGAUUCCAUGAAAUCAUUUGUUAGUACAGUAUGAGUAGUUAUUCUAGGCAUUGCAAAUUCAGGCUUAUUUGUAACCAAAUUACAGAGAUACAGAGGGAGGAUUUAAUCAUACUGUCAUGGUCAUGUUUUUUUCAAACUGGAGAGGCUGUGGUUUCUUUUAGUUUAUUAGUCCUCUGAGGUCACGAAAGCCCCUCUAACAGCUUGAAAUUAACUUGUGUACUUAAGGUAGCCCAAGACUAAGUUAGAAUUACAAUGUUAAGAUAGCUAGUGGGUACAUUCAAAUAAGUUAAUUAUAUUUAAAAAAAAAACACUUCCCCAUAUAUUUGCCACCCAAGGCUCUUAUGAGAUUUACUAUUUCAGCAAAAGUGGGGCUCAAACAUACAAUGAAAUUGACUAUAUUGCCUAGAACCACAAUGGUGCUAUUUCCAGGCCAUCUCAUUAGCAUAAAUAUUAGUAGCCAACCUAUUUGGAACGCCCUUGGAAAAGAAAUAUGUGAAGAAUAUCAAAAGAACAUAGCUCUUUUGGAGCAGGGCCUUGUUUACAAAACUUUACAACAAAGACCAACAUUAGAUGAGUGUAAUGGUUUCAUUACCUCCCCAGAGGACUAUAAAAAGAUGUCAAGUCACUUUAGAAUCUGCUGAGUUUGGAGUAAAUUAGCACAAAGUUGUACAAUGUCUUUUGCCUUGAGAAAGAAUAAACAUUUAGAAGAAAUUAGAAGCAAAGAUGAUUGCUUCCGAUUUCCUAUCUGGUGGGUCCUAAUAAAUUAAUAGGGUGCCAUCCAUACUUUGGCUUGAGGUGUUACUUACUCUUCAAAUGACAUCUGAUCUUGAGAAAUAAAGAUCUGCUCAGUCAUGCUUACUCCCAUGGGGCACCGCAGCUACUUUGUCCAGCUGAACUCACAGAGGGGCCUCAGGCCUGCACGAUGAACUAUAAUGAAGGCAGACCAAAGCAUUGCAGCAAAUGCAGUACCUUUUCUGUAAUAUAACUCUGUAAUAUUUAGUGUCUCCCAACCCCAAGGUCAGCUAGCCCUUUGAAACAGUCAUCCUAGUGGAAUCGCUAGAGUAGCAGUUUUCAACCUGUGGGUCGUGAUGCCUUUGGGGGUUGAAUGACCCUUUCACGGGGGUUGCACAUCAUAUAUCCUGCAUAGCAGAUAUUUACACUAAGAUUCAUAACAGUAGCAAAAUGACAGCUAUGAAGUAGCAAUGAAGAUGAUUUUAUGGUUGGGGGGUCAGCACAACACGAGGAGCUGUGUUAAAGGGUCAAAGCAUUAGGAAGGCUGAGAACCACUGCUCUACAAUAGAUUUGAAGUCUCUCCACCUCUGAUUUCCAUCGAAGAGGCAAGUUAGUCCUUGAGGCAUUGUUUUCUCAUCUGUGACAUGGUGAUAAAGUAACUUCAACUCUCAGAACCAUUGAAGGAAUGUAUGAGAAAAAUCACAAUGGCCCUCAGAAUUUGGUCUUCGUACCACCUUCACCCUCAAUGCUCUACAUCUGCUGCAGAUGUUUUGAUGGAGGGGUAAUCAGCCUUUGUGAGGGACUCCAUGUCCUAGUUGGUGACAGGAAGGCAAACUGAUGUAAAGUAUCAUCUAAUAUCUGUGAGGACUUCUACUGUGGGCUCCAGAAUUCCUCAGGGAGUCAGGAUGCAGGCACCUCAGCAGCCCUUUGCAGAGUAAAAAUUUUCCCACAUGAUCUAAUAUCACACCAUUCUGUGGUCAGCAUGGCUUUGGUUCCACUUUGUUCUCUACAGUUGUUAAGGCACAGCGGGCGGUGGGGUGGGGCUGCUCACACUAUGCUUGAGAACAGGGAAGGGAAAUUAUGGUUUUAUUCUGUUUAUAAGCAAAUUAACAGCCCCACACUGUUCUCAUCGGGUCUAGGGCAACUGACAGCAUGUCCCUAAGGUCCUGAGGCACCCAUCAGUUCAGGUCAAGCUAGUUCCUUGUGACUUAUGAUAAUGGCUCUCCUUAUGGAGGAAACGGGUUCCCACCUGACAUGAGGGGGAAAAUGAUGUUAGUUUGGGUAUCUAUUAUGAUGCUAUUGCUCUGAAAAUGAGUGGGAAGGGGCCUAGAAAACGUGGAAUUGUACUGGUGUUCAUUGCUGCACUAGUCACAUAACUAGGUUACAGAGUCAUCCUGACGCCAUCUGUGGAUGAGUGGGAAUAGAAAAUGUGCCUUAGGGCUUGGGAGGUGGCUUGCUGUGUGAGUCUGAUGCUCUGAUGGUGGAAGAUGAGAACAGACUCCCAAAAGUUGUCCCCUGAUCCCCACAUGCAGGCUAUGGCAUGCACAUGGUGUACAUGUAUGUGUGCUUGCACACAUGAAUGGGUGUGUAUGCACUCACACCCCCCCCCACAAACCACAGAUAUACUAUUAAUACUACCACUGCUAAGAGUAAUAAACAUUUUUAAAAGAGAGAAGGUGGCAUAUAGACACAGCAGGGUAUUAUUCAGCUGCACACAAGAAUGAAGUCAUGGCAUUUGCAGGAAUAGAGAUGGAGCUGAAGAGCCUUAUCUUAAGUGAAACAAAGCAGAUCCAGAGAAACAAACGCCACAUGAUUUCUAUCAUACACAGUAUCAAUUUUCUAAAAAAUAAAUGGGACUAGAAGGAUGUAUGUUUGUUGGCAGAGGUGCUUAUAGGGGCAUGGAGGGAGGCAAAAAAUGUUAAAAGACGAGUGGAUAUGAUUGCAGUUCUUGGAUGGAAAUGUCACAAUGAUGUCAUACAAAUGACAUAUGCUAAUAGAAUUUUUUCUUUUAAAUCACUGGCAGUGCUAGGGAGAUGGCUCAGUAGGUAAAAUGCUUGCUAUCCAAGCACAAGGCCCCAGGUUCAGAUCCCCAGCAGCCACAUAAGAAUAAAAAAGGGGGUCAGGGAGUAUUUAAUGUGCCUGUAAUCCAGUGCUAGCAGUGGGGUGGAGGGGAGAGACAAGUCAUGCUCUGAGCUUACUGGGCAGUCAGUGUAGCCAAGGGCAGAGCACAUAUUCAGGGAAAGACCCUGUCUCAAAAAACAGUUUAGAAAGCAGUAGAGGAAGACCCUGCAUUGACCUGUGGUCUCUGUACACAGAAAUGCCCACGCAUACACACACACACACACACACACACACACACACACACACACACACACACACACCAAAAGCAAUAGAUUUUUAAAACUCAAGGGUUCUCUGACAAUACUUUCAUUCAGCAAAUGUGCUGCUUUUUCCUCUUGUUUUCUUACCGGUGUCUGAUAAUUUAUUGAGUUUGUAUGCCAUGCAUUUAAAAUAAAUUCAAAUCUUCCUGGGAUUAAAGAAAACGCUUAUGCUCCUAGAACUCUUGUGUGGCUGAGCAACAUGGUAGUGCAUGUUUAUAGUCUCCUCACCGGACUGGAUUUACUUUGGGGAAAUGUCUUCUCUACAGAGCCAGUCUGAUGUUUCCAACGGCCAAACAUCAUGGAAUUAGUUUUUGAAGGGGAAAAAAUCACACUAUUAAAACUGUUAGCAAAAAAGAAAUCACCGAGAGGCCUUUGCUGAGCACAGAGCCUGUCUGGGGCCAAAGCAGCUGAGGACACACUGAAGGAGCUUGGCCGUUAGUGGCCAACGGAAAUUCUGAAGCAUAGCUAGAGCCAGCUCACCGACCAGCCCAACCACAGACAGCAGCCUGCAGCUGCAGGCUCUGGGAGGCAAACUGUGGCCAUGAAAAGAGCGAAGAUUUGGACACACACACACACACACACACACACACACACACACACAGUCAGAACAAGUCCAGUUGCCCAGUGGUGUCCAAACAAGGCAUUCUUUAGGAAAAAAUUUUAAAAAAUGACAACUCUGCAUUUUGGACAGAAAGUGUUCUGGUUUAUUAAUACCCUUUAUUUUUAUAGCCUGCACAUUUACUUUUUAAUCAUUUGUUUCUUGUUUGUGAAAGUAGUUUGCCUAAGCAUCUAAUGUCCCUAUUGAUUGCAUUCAUCAACAUUUGUAUUAUGGUAUCACUUUCUGGUCACUAUGGUGUUUACUUUUGUCUGUAGAUUUUAUUGUUUAAUUUACACAUAAGAUAAACUGUUGUGUGAUAUUUUGAUUGUGUUCUGAUAAAUAAAGCUUGCUUGGAGUCAGAGGGCAGAGUUAGCCACUAGCUGACCAAAAUUAACUACACAGAGGUUUUGGAAGACUGAGGAUAGAUAGGACAGGAAGUAGUAAGGUGGGCAGAAAGGGAUCUGGCUCACUGUCUGGAGGAAGGGACAGAGCAGGUAGGGAUGACUGGUGGCUUCUCUGAUCUUUCAAGCUCUUACCCCAAUAUCUGACUUCUGAAUUUUUAUUGAUAAAGAAUAAUUAGAACAAUGCUUCAUCAUACAGGUGUACAUAGUUAUAGGAUGCCAUGUGACAUUCUGGUAUGUUCAUAUGUUGUAUCAUCUUUAAAUCAAAUAAUCAUAAUGUGCAUUGAAGAAUACAAAUUAUAUCUUUUAAAAAUGUGUGUAUAUAUUUUGCUUGCAUGAGGCCAGAAGAAUCUUCAAGAGGUCAGAAGAGGUCAGAGGCCAGAAGUUUGACACUAGCUUGCAAAGCCUCAUAGGGCUGCUAUUAAGAAAGAAAUAAAGGAAGAAAGGAAGGAAGGAAGGAAAGGAGGAAGGAAGGAGGGAGGGAGGGAAGGAAGGAAGGAAGGAAGGAAGGAAGGAAGGAAGGAAGGAAGGAGGGAAGGAAGGUGCAUUUGCAUCCGAGACAAUUCCAAAGUUCCACAGUCAGUGUGUUAUGAGUCAUGAGACCUUUAUUUUCUUUCCUUUUUUUUUUCUUGUCUGUUCAUUCCUUUGUUUGUUUUUGAGAUAUGAUCUCCCCAUAACACAGACUGGCUUUAAACACACCAGGUAGUUAAGGAUCGCUUUGAACUCCUGAUCCCUUAUCCUGUAGCCUCCACUUGCUAUUUUCAGUGCCUAGGUUAUAGGCAUAUGCCAUGACACCCAGGUAGUAAUCUUUUUCUUAACUAGUAUAAGCCAGUUUGUGUCUGAAUGAGGCCACAUUGUGAGGACUAGUUAAGGAUUCACCUAAGUGGACAGGAAUUCAGUUAUACGACCAAAACUCCUGGAUUGCUGGAAACAUCUGGAGGGCUGACUCUGAAAGACACAGUCUGAGCCCCAACUGAUAUUUUUCUUGGUGUACAUCCCCGUGUGAGUCAUAAGUGAGCUAAAAAUGGAGUGGCAAAAGGAGACAAUGAAAGCCUGGGCAAAGCAGAGCUCCCCACCACCAAUUACCAUAUGGGUGGCUUCAACUGCUCAGAGUGUGGAACCAGGAAGCGACACUCAAGGCAGUGCUGGGGGCACAAUGAUGAGCAUAGUGGUGUGUGUGUGUGUGUGUGUGUGUGUGUGUGUGUGUGUGUGUGUGCGCGCGCGCGUGCGCAGUAGGGGACUGUGGGGAGACUUGUCUCUUCAGAGUCAAGGCACAAAAGGCACAAGGCAGAUGGGGGGUGGAAGGUAGGGUGGAAGAGCAUAGCCCAAACAAGGGAACCUUGGUUUGAGGCUGGUAGGGAGUAGGAGUAGCUAGAAAGAACUCUGCCCCGUGUUUGCGUAAGUAGAACUUCAUUCAUUCCAGCAAGGCAGAGAGAGGCUUCAGCAUUUGUUAUUCACAGUACACAGUGGUUUUGUUUGUAUGUUUGUUUGUUUGUUUUUCAACAGUAGUGAUCAGUGUUCUGCAUUUUACACAUAAACAGGAAUAAGGAGUGACUAGGGCAUGGAAGGAAAUGCCUGAGAAGAAACUACUUUGUGAUCAAUACCUUAAAAUUGUCAGCCAUGACACAGAGAGAGGUGCAGCCUUAACCCAUCCCUCACAAUAUUCUGAAAGAGUACUUUUCCUUUUUAGAGGCCUUUCUCUGCUCAGUCAAAACCAGUAUUCAUGGUGUCAAGAGGAGGAGGUUAGCAUUGCAAGCUUAGCCAUUAUGCAGCAGAGUUAGAGAGAGAUGUUUUAGUGUAAAUCUAAGCAGGUUAAAAAGAAAAAGACACCAGGGAAGGAAUAGUAGACACACCCAACGGUGGGAUGGGUUUCUCCAGGGAGAGUCACAGUUAGGCUUCUUUACAACAGAUACAGAUAGGAGUUUGGUGGCCUUCAAGUUACAUCUGUAAAGGUUGCUAAGAAGCCUCUCUUUUAUUUUAACACCAGCCCCAAAAUGUAGUUUAUGGGAGGAUGGGAGGGAGAAGGAACUUGGAUUGAUAUGUAAAAUAAGAAUUAAUUAAAAAAAGAAAGAAAAAAGUUAAAGAAUCUUCUUUAAUAAAUAAAUUUGUAAAGUGGACUUAUGAAGGGCAUUGUUUAGACUUAGCCAAGAGAGGGGGGAGCCCACAGACAACACUUUACUUGCCACAUUCAGAAUCACUCUUGGAGAUGUCUCUAGACAAACAUGGGUUCCUCAGUAGAUAAUGUUGACUUUAUCAGUUUCCUGACACCAUCAGUUGGACAGGCAAGCUAGGCCCAGAAACAAUGGGCAAUUUUCCUUUCCUGGCAUGCCUCAAUGUUCCCUGUCUUUUUACCCUGCCUCAAAAUCAUGCUCCUGUCAUGAGGAAUGGCCCACAUACGUGCAGAUGAAAUACUGCUACUAUGCUGAGAGUGUCAAGAAAAGAAUUGAUCCUUCUUCGUAUUACCACACCAGGAAGGAGAUACCAUGAUCUUGUCUGCUCCCAAAGGAGGUUAACUGAAGCUCAGGGAAGCAUCUUUCCAAGCUCUCCACCACCAGCCACGCAGCCAGUCCUGUCUGACUCUGAAAUCCUGAGGUUGUCAAUUUCCUCUGUUGUCAUCUUUAAAUCACUAGUUUCCAAGCCCUUCCACAUACACCACAAUAGUUGGACUUCCCAAUGACUCAGCAAGCAAAGUUGGUAUCAGACCAUAGCUAGCCUCUGUGGUUUUAUCAUCACAGAAGUGCACAUGAUAAUGGUGUCUAAAUCACUCACAGGGCCAUAGUUUCAGAAAAAUUACGGGAUGCGGAACUAUGCCCGUAAUGCAGAAACUAACACCUUUAACUGAGAUGUGGAGCAGCUGGUGGAGACUGUUCUACAGGCCAAGAGUGAAGCUGGGGAGGGGAGAGACUUUCCCCAAGAACAUCAGCCUGGAAUGAAUGGAGCUGGGAUUUAGGGUCAUUUAGGGCUAAGAAUCCUUUGCCCUGUAUCUUCUCAGUUCCAAGUGGUUCAUGACUUUGCUCCACGGCCUUCAGGGUCUUGCCUUCCCCAGGGCUCCUGGCUGCUAGGAUGACACACAUUUCCUCUGGCUGAAGAUGUGUGGAGACUCUGCCUGGAAGCUUGGGAAAGGAAUUUUCCCCAUUUUGUAGUCAGAAACAGCUUAGAAAAGUAUGACUCAGAGCACUUCUUCUUCCUAUUUCCCACAAGCAAGGUCAUGCACUGGGUAUGUUGCCUGAAGGCCUGAUGGUGCAUGAAAUGAUGCACCAUGGAAAUGAAGACAUGUAGCUGAAGAUGCCUGGCUAUAAUCGUGAGUGAGCAACUUUGCAGUAUGAUGAGCCAUAGAGGGAGAGAAGAGUGGAGGAGGGGGCCCAUGGGCUGCUGCGGGGGAGAUAUGCUCAGUACCUCAUUCUAAACACUGGUCAGUGGGAUGCUAUUGGAUGAAAAGGAGACAAGGGAGGCACAAAUGGAUGGAUGGAAGGAUGGAUGGACGGACGGAUGGACCAAUGGAUGGAUGGCGGACAGACAGACAGAUUCCCUCUCAUAGGGUAGCCUAUGGAUGAGGGGAGAGAUGGAUAACACCAAGGUGUAGGGAAAGCUGUAGCCAUGCCUUCUUAGAGGCUGGCUACAGGUGUGCCUGACCAGGCUUGUGAGGGCGUGGUCAGAGUGACGUAGUGGGACUGCGUUUUCGGUUUUGGUUUCUCUUUGCUUCUUGCUGUACAGACCUCUACCACGCCAGCUGGCUGGGUCACUCUAUUUGCACGUGCAGCAAUAAGAUGCUAGAGCUGAUUGCUAAUUGCUUAAAUAUAUGAAGAAAUUUCAAGAGAGGCAGAACUACAAACAUUUUUCUGAAAGGCAAGUCCCAGAAGAGACCCAUGGAAAGGAAAUGGAAAAGAAAACAAAUGAGCUCCCACAACGAGUUAAGUCCAGAGGCCACAAUUAAAGGGAAAUAAUAACGACACCCAGAGAUCCUGGGCUCUAACAUAUCCUGGAAAGGAAGCCCAGGUCCCC